rnacentral:lncRNA from 1 species
UCAUGCAGGAUUGUUGCAUCGUGUGCCAUCUUGGAGUACCACAGAAAGUCCCUACAAGCAAGAAGUCUCUCACCAGAUACACCCCCUCAACAUUGGACUUCACAGCCUCCGUAACUGUAAGAAAUAAAUUUCUUUUCUUUAUAAAUUAUCCAAAUUCAAGUAUUCUAUUAUAAGCAACAGAAAAUGGACUAAGAAAGACAGUAUACUUUCUAUGUUUAAUGUAGCCACUCCAUGAUUAAGAUACAGAAUUGUUUCAUCACCUCAAAAUUCUCAUGUGCUACCCCUUUAUUGUCACACCCACAUCAUCUCCCCAACCUUCCUAAUGUCUGUCAACCACUAAUAUUUUUUUCAUCUUUCUCAUUUUGUUAUGUGAAGAAUGUUUUACAAAUCAUGUAGUAAGUGACCUUUUGAGAUUGGCUGUUUUCAAUCAGUGUAGUAUUCCCGAGUUUCAUCCAAGUUGUUGAGUAUAUCAAUAGUUUACUCUUUUUAUUUACAAGUAGUAUUCCAUUGUCUGAAUAUAUCACAGUUACUUGCCCA